rnacentral:rRNA from 1 species
GUCGGGAAUUUUGCGCAAUGGACGAAAGUCUGACGCAGCAACGCCGCGUGAGGGAUGACGGCCUUCGGGUUGUAAACCUCUCUUGUCAGGGACGAUGAUGAAGGUACCUGACGAAUAAGCCACGGCUAACUACGUGCCAGCAGCCGCGGUAAUACGUAGGUGGCAAGCGUUGUCCGGAUUUACUGGGCGUAAAGAGCGCGCAGGCGGUCGUUCAAGUCGCGUGUGAAAGCCCCCGGCUCAACUGGGGAGGGUCACGCGAUACUGGUCGACUCGAAGGCAGGAGAGGGUAGUGGAAUUCCCGGUGUAGUGGUGAAAUGCGUAGAUAUCGGGAGGAACACCAGUGGCGAAGGCGACUACCUGGCCUGUUUCUUGACGCUGAGGCGCGAAAGCUAGGGGAGCAAAC